GCGCGAUUAGCUCAGUGGUAGAGCGCUAGCUCGACACGCUAGAGGUCGCUGGUUCAAAUCCAGCAUCGCGCACCA
rnacentral:tRNA from 1 species